UCAGAAUUCAAUUUAAUUUUAUCAUGUCGUCACCUUUCUAUGUCUUUUUUUGUGACAAAAUCUGUUUUUGAUUAUUUUAGGAAGGUGAUUAUAUGAUAUUAUCACGGGGGUCCUCCAUUUAUCUGUCAACAUAUAUUCCCUUUGUCUUUUCCGUUCUUCAAAGACUAGUUGUCGGUGGUGAUGCUGUGGGCAGAAAGGAUCUCCAGUAGCGCUCUCCAUCCAGGCAGCAGAGACGAUAUUCUACUGGUCCUGGAUGACCCAGUCAGACGUUAGCAGCUCUGCUAAUCCACCUUCUUUGCUUUUGCCGUUCCUCUUUAAAUCUGGCUGUAUGUUUAGAAAGAUGAGCAGAGAGAUGCUGGAGAUGAGGAUAUGAUUCUUGCCUGUUAUGAUCGAUGAAAAAAAAUGGUUUGAACUUUCUCCCCUUUCUCUGCAUCCAUUCAUUCUCUGCUCCAGCUCCUCUAGCAGUUUGAGGUCAGAGUUCACGGAUUAAUUGAGUUUUCGGGAUGCAAUUUAGCUGC